UUUCUUUUCUUUUUCUUUCCUCUCACUCAGCGUCCUGUGAUUCCAAAGAAAUGAGUCUCUGCUGUUUUUGGGCAGCAGAUAUCCUAGAAUGGACUCUGACCUAAGCAUCAAAAUUAAUCAUCAUAACGUUAUCAUUUUAUGGCCCCUUCUUCCUAUAUCUGGUAGCUUUUAAAUGAUGACCAUGUAGAUAAUCUUUAUUGUCCCUCUUUCAGCAGACGGUAUUUUCUUAUGCUACAGUAUGACUGCUAAUAAUACCUACACAUGUUAGAACCAUUCUGACUCCUCAAGAAUCUCAUUUAACUCUUAUUAUCAGUGAAUUUAUCAUCAUCCCCUAUUUUACAUAAGGAAAUGGGGUUAGAAAGACCAAAUAACAUUUUUUCAACAUCAAAACACUAGCUUGAGAUCAAGCCCAGACUUGGAUCUGUCGUCUGAAUUCCAAGCUUUUUGUUAUUUAUUGAUAUGUUUUGUUGUUUUCAUGCAAUAAUGCAAAUAUUAGCCCAAACAUUUUGUUAGUAGUACCAACUGUAAGUCACCUUAUCUUCAUACUUUGUCUUUAUGUAAACCUAAAUUAGAUCUGUUUUUGAUACUGAGGGAAAAACAAGGGAAUCUAACACUAACCAGCCCGUAGUGUGUGGUCAACACUUUCGUUACUUUAGUAUACAUCACCCCAAUUGUUUGUCUUCACCACACACUUUGGAGUUAGGUAGUAGUAUCUAUUUUUACAAAUAAGAAAACCCAGGCACAAAGGGGUUGAUUAGCAAUUAUCUUUUGAAAAGCCUGUAGUUGCUCAUCUGAAGAAGUGACGGACCACCUCUUAUUUAGUGGACAGACAGUAACUAGUUGAGAAGACAGGGGAUUUUGUUGGCGGAAAAAAAAUUUUAUCAAAAGUCGUCUUCUAUCAGGGAGUUUUAUGAGAAACCCUAGCUCCUCAGUUCCACAGUGGGUAACUGUAAUUCAUUCUAGGUCUGCGAUAUUUCCUGCCUAUCCAUUUUGUUAACUCUUCAAUGCAUUCCACAAAUACCUAAGUAUUCUUUAAUAAUGGUGGGUUUUUUUUUUUUUUUGCAUCUAUGAAGUUUUUUCAAAUUCUUUUUAAGUGACAAAACUUGUACAUGUGUAUCGCUCAAUAUUUCUAGUCGACAGCACUGCUUUCGAGAAUGUAAACCGUGCACUCCCAGGAAAAUGCAGACACAGCACGCCUCUUUGGGACCGCGGUUUAUACUUUCGAAGUGCUCGGAGCCCUUCCUCCAGACCGUUCUCCCACACCCCGCUCCAGGGUCUCUCCCGGAGUUACAAGCCUCGCUGUAGGCCCCGGGAACCCAAAGCGGUGUCAGAGAAGUGGGGUCCCCUACGAGGGACCAGGAGCUCCGGGCGGGCAGCAGCUGCGGAAGAGCCGCGCGAGGCUUCCCAGAACCCGGCAGGGGCGGGAAGACGCAGGAGUGGGGAGGCGGAACCGGGACCCCGCAGAGCCCGGGUCCCUGCGCCCCACAAGCCUUGGCUUCCCUGCUAGGGCCGGGCAAGGCCGGGUGCAGGGCGCGGCUCCAGGGAGGAAGCUCCGGGGCGAGCCCAAGACGCCUCCCCGAGCGCGGCUCCAGGACCCCGUCGACCCGGAGCGCUGUCCUGUCGGGCCGAGUCGCGGGCCUGGGCACGGAACUCACGCUCACUCCGAGCUCCCGACGUGCACACGGCUCCCAUCCGUUGUCUUCCGAGCGUCAGGCCGCCCCUACCCGUGCUUUCUGCUCUGCAGACCCUCUUCCUAGACCUCCGUCCUUUGUCCCAUCGCUGCCUUCCCCUCAAGCUCAGGGCCAAGCUGUCCGCCAACCUCGGCUCCUCCGGGCAGCCCUCGCCCGGGGUGCGCCCCGGGGCAGGACCCCCAGCCCACGCCCAGGGCCCGCCCCUGCCCUCCAGCCCUACGCCUUGACCCGCUUUCCUGCGUCUCUCAGCCUACCUGACCUUGUCUUUACCUCUGUGGGCAGCUCCCUUGUGAUCUGCUUAGUUCCCACCCCCCUUUAAGAAUUCAAUAGAGAAGCCAGACGCAAAACUACAGAUAUCGUAUGAGUCCAGUUUUGUGAAGUGCCUAGAAUAGUCAAAAUUCACAGAGACAGAAGCAGUGGUCGCCAGGAAUGGGGAAGCAAGGCGGAGUUGGGCAGCUCGUGUUCAAUGGGUAGAGUUUCAGGCUGGGGUGAUGGAAGGGUGCUGGAAAUGAGUGGUAGUGAUGGCGGCACAACGGUGUGAAUCUACUUAAUCCCACUGAACUGUAUGCUGAAAAAUGGUUUAGACGGUGAAUUUUAGGUUAUGUAUGUUUUACCACAAUUUUUAAAAAGCUAGUGAAAAGCUGGUAAAAAGAAAGAAAAGAGGCUUUUUUAAAAAGUUAAAUAUAUAAAAAGAGCAUCAUCAGUCCAAAGUCCAGCAGUUGUCCCUCCUGGAAUCCGUUGGCUUGCCUCCGGCAUUUUUGGCCCUUGCCUUUUAGGGUUGCCAGAUUAAAAGACAGGAUGCCCAGCUAGUUUGAAUUUUAGAUAAACAACGAAUAAUUUCGUAGCAUAAAUAUGUCCCAAGCUUAGUUUGGGACAUACUUAUGCUAAAAAACAUUAUUGGUUGUUUAUCUGAGAUUCAGAAUUAAGCAUUUUAUAUUUUAUUUGCUGCCUCUGGCCACCCUACUCUCUUCCUAACACUCUCUCCCUCUCCCAGUUUUGUCCGCCUUCCCUGCCUCCUCUUCUGGGGGAGUUAGAUCGAGUUGUAACAAGAACAUGCCACUGUCUCGCUGGCUGCAGCGUGUGGUCCCCUUACCAGAGUGAGGAUGCGAAGAGAAGGUGGCUGUCUGCAAACCAGGAAGAGAGCCCUCACCAGGAACCUGUCCAGCUGCCACCUUGAACUUGGACUUCCAAGCCUCCAGAACUGUGAGGGAUAAAUGUAUGAUUUUAAAGUC
rnacentral:lncRNA from 10 species